rnacentral:rRNA from 1 species
AUUGAACGCUGGCGGCAUGCCUUACACAUGCAAGUCGAACGGUAACGGGCCUUCGGGGUACUCGAGUGGCGAACGGGUGAGUAACACGUGGGUAACCUGCCCUCAGCUUCGGGAUAACUCCGGGAAACCGGGGCUAAUACCGGAUAUUCAUUGUCUGCCGCAUGGUGGGUGGUGGAAAGUUUUUUCGGCUGGGGAUGGGCCCGCGGCCUAUCAGCUUGUUGGUGGGGUGAUGGCCUACCAAGGCGUCGACGGGUAGCCGGCCUGAGAGGGCGACCGGCCACACUGGGACUGAGGCACGGCCCAGACUCCUACGGGAGGCGGCAGUGGGGAAUAUUGCGCAAUGGGCGGAAGCCUGACGCAGCGACGCCGCGUGAGGGAUGACGGCCUUCGGGUUGUAAACCUCUUUCAGCAGGGACGAAUGUAGACGGUACCUGUAGAAGAAGCACCGGCCAACUACGUG